UACAGAGGUCUCAAGCGUUGUUCGGAUUCAUUGGGCGUAAAGGGUGUGUAGGUGGCGCCGUAAGUCGGGUGUGAAAUUUCGGAGCUUAACUCCGAAACUGCAUUCGAUACUGCGGUGCUUGAGGACUGGAGAGGAGACUGGAAUUCAUGGUGUAGCAGUGAAAUGCGUAGAUAUCUGGAGGAACACCGGUGGCGAAGGCGGCAUCCUGGACCAACAUUGACGCUGAGGAGCGAAAGCUAGGGGAGCAAACGGG
rnacentral:rRNA from 1 species